UACGAAGGCCACAAGCGUUAUCCGGAUUUAUUGGGCGUAAAGGGCGCGUAGGGGGCUUUGUAAGUCUCCGGUUAAAUCGUUCCGCUUAACGGAACAACCGCCGGGGAUACUGCAAAACUAGAAGGCGUUAGAGGCAGAUGGAACGCACGGUGUAGGGGUGAAAUCCGUUGAUAUCGUGCGGAACACCAAAGGCGAAGGCAUUCUGCUGGGACGUUCUUGACCCUGAGGCGCGAAAGCGUGGGGAG
rnacentral:rRNA from 1 species